UAAUAUUAUUUUUACAAGUUACGGGGAUAAUUAUGUCCCUAACAAUUUAAUUACUAAUUAGGAAGACGGGACCAUUUAAUUACUAAUUGGUAUCCGUGAAAAACUAAGGUCCCUAUUUGGAAAUGUUUUAAAAUAGUUUAUAAAAAGCACAAUUCUCACUUUAUAAAUUAGUAUGUGAUGUGAGUUAAAAAUAUCUUAUUACCAUUAUGAUGGAUUUUGAUUUGAAGUUAUUUAAUUCAUCCAAGAAUCUUUGCUUUGGAUAGGAUUUAUAUAUAUACUUGAAUGUUAUUAGUAAGUUCACCUCUCUAUUUCCUUUCGAUUAACAAAUUAGAUCAUAUGGAGAAAGAAGAAAAUAAUGAUGAUGAUGGUGGUGGUGAUGAUGAUGAUGAUGAUGAUGUGAGCAAGUUGAGUUUUGGCAAAGUAUGAUACUCUCUUGUUCCAUGAUGUGAAAAGAGAAGGCAAGUCAUAAAGGCAAAGGGAAGGUAACGCCUUUCUUCCAGGAUCAGUUCAUGUUGCACAAGUACUUCUGUUUUGUUAGUUUUGUUUUUUUUAAGUCAUUUAAGUGCUUGUGUGGAUUGCUAUAUACUGUAUUGUGAUCAUUUGUGUUAUGUUUAUUUUUCCUUACAUAUGCUUCAUGUAAUUUGGAAUCAUUUAUGUUUUGUUUCUUUUUCCACACAUGCCUCAUGCAAUUUCGGAUCAUUUUAUGUACUAUUCUUCCACACAUGUUUCAUCUAAUUUGGAAUGUUUGACCGGAAUUGCCAUACGUUCUAAAUUUCGGAUGAUUGUGCAUGUGGGGAAGGUAAUCUAUUAAUCUACAAAUGAUGAGGUGAAAAUCUUAAGCUAAGGAUAUGUUUGUGAGAAGUAGCUGAUAAGCUAAGUUAGUUUAUUAUAUUUGGUUUCGUAAAGUUGUCGAACUAACUAAUACUUAUAAAAUGACAUAAAAACAUCUUUAUUAUGUUUUUUCAUAGAAGUUGUAUUUUCACGUGUUAUUUAUUUUAAAUAGUUAUUAAUGUUGAUAUUUUAAUUUAUUUGAAUUUGUUAAACUCUUAACAAUUAUAUCAUGACACUAUUUUAUUUAUAAUACAGCAUUUAGUUUAACAAAACUAUGCAAAAUGAGAAUAAAAAUUAGGUUUAAUUACAUUUUUAAUCUAUUUAUUUUCACUAAUUUACGAAAUUGAUCUCAUAUUUUAAAAGUUGAUAGUUUCAAUUCAUCCAUCAGAUUUUUAAAUUAAAAAAAUUACAACUUGAUAUAUUUUAAUAAUAUUGCAUACACGAUUUUAUGAUAUAGAAUCAUCUAAAUAUAUUAAUUAAUUAAAUUAUAAAAGUGGACAUUUUAUAACAUUAAAAAUUAAAUUUUUUUUAAAAAUUAUCAUAAUUUCGUUAAUAUUAUAUUAUAUAACAUAUUAUUUAAAACAUGUUAGAUUAUAAUUUUUUAAUUACAAAAUAAAAAUGACAGACUAAAACUUUCUAAAUAUUUUGUAGGAUGAUCGAUUUUAUGAAUUUGUAAAAGGAAGAUACUAAAACUAUACUUAAGAAAGUUAUUACUCUUAAUAUAAAUUAAAUGAGCGCAUAUGCAAUUUUGCCAUUAAUUAUAGUUUUUACGGCGGUUAGAAAUGAAAUCCGUACCAAAUAAAUAAAUAAAAUGACAUUCGAUCUUCAUACCACCAGCAACCGGCAAAGCCAAAAAAAAAAAACAAAAAAAACAACGAAUGCAUUACGGAUUUCGCACUGUCUUCCACCAACGAACUGUAAAAAGCAAAAGCUAAUAAACAACUUUUUUUAAAAGACACUAAAGAAAGUAGAUAAGAUGAUUCAUUAUUGCCACAUACUUCACUUGUUUUAUAGUAUUUUUUUCAAUAUUCUCUGUUACCAAAAAUGGGAAUAAUCUCUAGUCAUCUGUAUAAACUACGGCACAUAAUGUAAUAUAACUUUAAGCCCAUGUUCCUAUUGCCAAAUUAAAGGGUGUGUUUUUAAAACAUGAAUGAAAAUACCUUGUUUAUUCUGCAGUAAUAACCCAACUAGCUUGAAAUUCUCUAACUUACUAGACAUCAAGUCCAAGAGCACCUUGAGUUUUAAAGGAUUUCAAGCAAUAUAUGGAUUCAUCGAGAAGCUGGAUCCAGCCGCGU
rnacentral:lncRNA from 1 species